rnacentral:rRNA from 1 species
GAUGAACGCUGGCGGCGUGCCUAAUACAUGCAAGUCGAGCGAAUGGAUUAAGAGCUUGCUCUUAUGAAGUUAGCGGCGGACGGGUGAGUAACACGUGGGUAACCUGCCCAUAAGACUGGGAUAACCCCGGGAAACCGGGGCUAAUACCGGAUAACAUUUUGAACCGCAUGGUUCGAAAUUGAAAGGCGGCUUCGGCUGUCACUUAUGGAUGGACCCGCGUCGCAUUAGCUAGUUGGUGAGGUAACGGCUCACCAAGGCAACGAUGCGUAGCCGACCUGGGAGGGGGAUCGGCCACACUGGGACUGAGACACGGCCCAGACUCCUACGGGAGGCAGCAGUAGGGAAUCUUCCGCAAUGGACGAAAGUCUGACGGAGCAACGCCGCGUGAGUGAUGAGGGCUUUCGGGUCGUAAAACUCUGUUGUUAGGGAAGAACAAGUGCUAGUUGAAUAAGCUGGCACCUUGACGGUACCUAACCAGAAAGCCACGGCUAACUACGUGCCAGCAGCCGCGGUAA